AACGAACGCUGGCGGCAGGCCUAACACAUGCAAGUCGAACGCUGUAGCAAUACAGAGUGGCAGACGGGUGAGUAACGCGUGGGAACGUGCCUUUCGGUUCGGAAUAACUCAGGGAAACUUGAGCUAAUACCGGAUACGCCCUUAGGGGGAAAGAUUUAUUGCCGAAAGAUCGGCCCGCGUCCGAUUAGCUAGUUGGUAUGGUAAUGGCGCACCAAGGCGACGAUCGGUAGCUGGUCUGAGAGGAUGAUCAGCCACACUGGGACUGAGACACGGCCCAGACUCCUACGGGAGGCAGCAGUGGGGAAUAUUGGACAAUGGGCGCAAGCCUGAUCCAGCCAUGCCGCGUGAGUGAUGAAGGCCCUAGGGUUGUAAAGCUCUUUCGCCAGGGACGAUAAUGACGGUACCUGGAUAAGAAGCCCCGGCUAACUUCGUGCCAGCCGCCGCCGUAACAC
rnacentral:rRNA from 1 species